rnacentral:misc_RNA from 1 species
GGGAUGUUGGAGAGGAGUAAGUACAGAGUUUGUUUGCUGCUGCAAAUUUCAGUUCCCAUUUGUAACUUCAUUAACAAAGAGCUCCCCAGAGUUCACUUUCUUUUUUGCUUCCUCUAUGAGAAUAUACGUAAAGUGAUUUAUGCCGUAUGGAUUCUUUUAUCUCACAUUUCCUUAUCUUAUGGUUACAUUCCUGUUUUAUUUCCCAUAUUUUUUUCAGUGCAAGAAGAGGAAGGAUUUA